rnacentral:rRNA from 1 species
AACGAACGCUGGCGGCAUGCCUAACACAUGCAAGUCGAACGAAGCCUUCGGGCUUAGUGGCGCACGGGUGCGUAACGCGUGGGAAUCUGCCCUUGGGUACGGAAUAACAGUGAGAAAUUACUGCUAAUACCGUAUGAUGUCUUCGGACCAAAGAUUUAUCGCCCAAGGAUGAGCCCGCGUAGGAUUAGCUAGUUGGUGAGGUAAAGGCUCACCAAGGCUACGAUCCUUAGCUGGUCUGAGAGGAUGAUCAGCCACACUGGGACUGAGACACGGCCCAGACUCCUACGGGAGGCAGCAGUGGGGAAUAUUGGACAAUGGGCGAAAGCCUGAUCCAGCAAUGCCGCGUGAGUGAAGAAGGCCUUCGGUUGUAAAGCUCUUUACCCGGGUAACGAUAAUGACCGUACCGGAGGAAUAAGCCCCGGCUAACUCCGUGCCAGCAGCCGCGGUAAU